UAUUCAGUCGUAACAAUAAUAUUUAGUGAUCUCAAUUUUCAUGCCAUGCUGAAUUAAAUUCAGCUAACAUCAGCGAUUUAGUUGGACGCUUCCUGCACUUUCAACUUUAUAAAAUGAUUGUUUGCGAUCAGCAACUCAUUAGACGGCGGUGGCAGUGGCGUGAUUGGCCCACUUGAACACAAACCACAGGACGUCAACAACACAGGGCCUAUGGAACUUUGUCCUCUGGUCCAACCAUUGCUUCUCCUCGUGACACCUGUGGUCUACGGUGACAGGGCCUUGGCUGGCGGCUAAUGCCACGAGGCCUCGGAGCCGGACUUGUGCUCCUCCUCUUGGGAGUUGUCGCCAGUGCGGUGGCCCUGAAGCCGGUUGGACACGUCUUGUGUGCGCUAGGGCAGUGGCAUCGCAGAGGAUGAAACCAACACUGAUUGAGAGCGGCCUCGAUGGUGUGGUGUAGCUGACCACGACCGUGGGGAUGGGCGUGCCGGACGCGUGAAUGGAAACGAGCUGGAGCGCCACUUUCCCUCUCCCUUCCAUUGGACUGGGUUGCAUCAUGCUUUUGGGCCGAUCCUGCUCUGUGUUUCCACGGGCUCCACCUGCUGUCGUGGAUGCGCAAAGAAUGGGAUACACACAUCCAAUAAAUUUCGCUAGGCGCUUGGUACUACAACUUCUACAUCUCGACGACUUUGGACAAUAAAGCGACGAUGCUCUACCUGGGCGUGGUCUAACUCUACCUCGGCCAGGUGUGGUGCCACGAGGAAGCACCCAAGGAGGAGCUUGAGAAAAUGAAGGUAACUAUGAAGCUUCCUCUAUACAUGAUAAGUGGGCGAAUGCGAAAUACAACAGGAGUUAGAGAAAGGCACACCUUGCACUUAUCGUUUCCUGAGUGCCAAAGAAAGGCUCACUGAAAGUAUCAAAUUUAUUUGAUGUGAGGUAGUGACAAGCUUUAGAGUUCAAGCUUUUAGUGGAGUGCUUUUAUGCAUAUAAUCUUAAUAUAAUUCAUAAUUGUAAAUAAUGGGAAGCACACAGUGGUACAUACAUUGUAUGCAUUGUGAAAGAAAAUAUUUUUAUAAUCGUGCUUGUGUUUAACAAGAAUUGGUAGAAACAAUUAUGUUUUAAUUUUAAUGAAUAUAUAUUACACCUUUUGUAUAAACUAA